rnacentral:rRNA from 1 species
UGGAUGAUGUGGAUUAAUUCGAUGCAACGCGAAAACCUUUACCUACCCUUGACAUGUCCGGAAUCCCGAAGAGAUUUGGGAGUGCUCGCAAGAGAGCCGGAACACAGGUGCUGCAUGGCUGUCGUCAGCUCGUGUCGUGAGAUGUUGGGUUAAGUCCCGCAACGAGCGCAACCCUUGUCAUUAGUUGCCAUCAUUUGGUUGGGCACUCUAAUGAGACUGCCGGUGACAAACCGGAGGAAGGUGGGGAUGACGUCAAGUCCUCAUGGCCCUUAUGGGUAGGGCUUCACACGUCAUACAAUGGUCGGUACAGAGGGUUGCCAACCCGCGAGGGGGAGCUAAUCCCACAAAGCCGAUCGUAGUCCGGAUCGCAGUCUGCAACUCGACUGCGUGAAGUCGGAAUCGCUAGUAAUCGUGGAUCAGCAUGUCACGGUGAAUACGUUCCCGGGUCUU